rnacentral:lncRNA from 1 species
AUUAGGUUGAUUGUCGAAAAUCAGAAUGUUACCGGAGGAUGGUGUGUGUGUGUGUGUAUAUAUAUAAGAGAGAAUUGGUCUACUAAGCUCUAGUAACAAUGCACAUCUAUUCAUUGAUUGAUAAGUUCAAGGUGGAUUUCAAGAUUUGAAUUAAAUUUGUCAUCCACCAAUUGAUUGAUGUGCUGUAUGAUCAGUGUUUAACAUAAGCUAAGCAACGAUACUUAGUAGAUAAUUUCCCUCUAUAUAUAUAAGUAUAACUAUUGUUUUCAUAUAUAUAGGGAGAGAGAGACACAUACCCAACCGGAUUUCUUUUUGUUAUUUUCCCUUUCUUGCACUAAUCAGUUACAUAUUAGUGUAUAACACACACACACAUAUAAAUAUGUACUUAGUAUAUGUAAGAAUAUAUUUUCUUUUUAUGCGUACUUUGACGUCGAGUUAUAUCGAAGCUUUGAAGAUUUUUCCUUGUGGUGAAUUAGAGUCACAUAAAUCCAUCAAAGGCAGGUUUGUAGUGUAGGGAUAAAAACCUGCUACUUCUAGGAGCCUAUCGCGGCAUUGGUGGAGUGGAACGCCAAUGAAUCCUCCUUCCAAUUCUUAUCCUCUAACUUAAGCUGGCUCCAAAAUUACUGUAAAACAUUGUAACAUUUUUAAUAUCAUUAUAUUAUUUUAUUGUUCCCGAGUCCUACCUCCACCCUGGUCACACAAUACUGUAAGGUGCAUACAGAGACAAAGUGCUAUGCACUCCUGGUGGUUACAAUGUGUCGAUUAGAUUUAGAUCUUGCACCAUGAUCAUUGCCUAUUUUGGAAAGUAAAGACAUGAAGAUUUUGGUUGGCAUCAUUUUUAUUCUUUGUUGGGAAAAAAAUGGCAACUAGACGCUUUUUUUCGUAUUAAUGGUUAUCAUGG